rnacentral:rRNA from 1 species
UACGUAGGGGGCAAGCGUUGUCCGGAUUUAUUGGGCGUAAAGAGCGUGUAGGCGGCCAGGUAGGUCCGUUGUGAAAACUCGAGGCUCAACCUCGAGACGUCGAUGGAAACCAUUUGGCUAGAGUCCGGAAGAGGAGAGUGGAAUUCCUGGUGUAGCGGUGAAAUGCGCAGAUAUCAGGAAGAACACCUAUGGCGAAGGCAGCUCUCUGGGACGUCACUGACGCUGAGACGCGAAAGCGUAGGGAGCAAACAGG